CACGUAGGGUGCGAGCGUUGUCCGGAAUUAUUGGGCGUAAAGAGCUCGUAGGCGGUGUGUCGCGUCGGCCGUGAAAACCUGCAGCUUAACUGUGGCUUGCGGUCGAUACGGGCAUCACUGGAGUUCGGCAGGGGAGACUGGAAUUCCUGGUGUAGCGGUGAAAUGCGCAGAUAUCAGGAGGAACACCGGUGGCGAAGGCGGGUCUCUGGGGCCGAUGACUGACGCUGAGGAAGCGAAAGCGUGGGAGCGAACAGG
rnacentral:rRNA from 1 species